UCUGCUGUUAAAAGUGGAGCUUAACUCCAUCGUGGCAGUGGAAACUGUUGGGCUACAUUUUGGUAGGGGCAGAGGGAAUUCCCGGUGUAGCGGUCUUUUGCGUAGAUAUCGGGAAGAACACCAGUGGCGAAGGCGCUCUGCUGGGCCAUAACUGACGCUCAUGGACGAAAGCCAGGGGAGCGAAAGGGAUUAGAUACCCCUGUAGUCCUGGCCGUAAACGAUGAACACUAGGUGUCGGGGGAAUCGACCCCCUCGGUGUCGUAGCCAACGCGUUAAGUGUUCCGCCUGGGGAGUACGCACGCAAGUGUGAAACUCAAAGGAAUUGACGGGGGCCCGCACAAGCGGUGGAGUAUGUGGUUUAAUUCGAUGCAACGCGAAGAACCUUACCAGGGUUUGACAUCCUGCGAAUCUCCUGGAAACGGGAGAGUGCCUUCGGGAACGCAGUGACAGGUGGUGCAUGGCUGUCGUCAGCUCGUGUCGUGAGAUGUUGGGUUAAGUCCCGCAACGAGCGCAACCCACGUCUUUAGUUGCCAGCAUUCAGUUGGGCACUCUAGAGAGACCGCCGGUGAUAAACCGGAGGAAGGUGUGGAUGACGUCAAGUCAUCAUGCCCCUUACAUCCUGGGCUACACACGUACUACAAUGCUACGGACAAAGGGCAGCAAACUCGCGAGAGCUAGCAAAUCCCAUAAACCGUGGCUCAGUUCAGAUCGUAGGCUGCAACUCGCCUACGUGAAGGAGGAAUCGCUAGUAAUCGCAGGUCAGCAUACUGCGGUGAAUACGUUCCCGGGCCUUGUACCCACCGCCCGUCACACCAUGGAAGUUGGCCACGCCCGAAGCCGUUACUCCCACCCUUGGGGAGGAGAACUCGAAAGUGGGGCUGAUGACUGGGGUGAAGUCUAAACAA
rnacentral:rRNA from 1 species